rnacentral:tRNA from 1 species
GGCUUUGUAGUCAAUUUAUGAUAUUAGACUGCAAUUCUAAAGUAGAUAAAACUUUAUCUAAAGCUU